UACGAAGGGUGCAAGCGUUAAUCGGAAUUACUGGGCGUAAAGGGUGCGUAGGCGGUUGUUUAAGUCUGUCGUGAAAUCCCCGGGCUCAACCUGGGAAUGGCAAUGGAUACUGGCGAGCUAGAGUGUGUCAGAGGAUGGUGGAAUUCCCGGUGUAGCGGUGAAAUGCGUAGAGAUCGGGAGGAACAUCAGUGGCGAAGGCGGCCAUCUGGGACAACACUGACGCUGAAGCACGAAAGCGUGGGGAGCAAACAGG
rnacentral:rRNA from 1 species